CAGAUUUGUAGACAUCAUUUCGGGAGGAACCACGGACAUCAAUGCAACGACAUUCCAGGAAUGUCUCAGCGCCUGCCAGAUUUCGAAUUGCUUAUCUUUCUAUUAUGGACAUGGGCAAUGUAAAGAGUACUCUGGCAGACUGUUUUCGAGUCAUGGAGAAGUGGUUGCUGGUUGGCGAUACUACGAGAGAACUAGAACUCUCGGCAACAUAGCCCUAUGAAAACCUACUACGGAGUCCUCAAUCGAGGCAACUACUCUAGAAGUGGACCUGUCUGCGGCCAGCGUUGUUGAUGGGAUGCGCUACCCAACCAGCUAUGCAAUCGGGAAGGCCUGCUUCAUAGGUUUGGGUGAAUCCAAUCCCUGGAUGAGUGUGGAUUUGCUCGAUGUUUAUUUCAUUCAGGAAGUUAUGAUAUUGACGAAGAGAGGAACAAAGUCAGCUUUUGAAGACGUCACUGUUCUUAUAAGGCUUACCACAGAAGAAUAUCACUGCAGUUCGUACGCCGGAGUCGCACCGCUCGAGACAGUCAUAACUUUGGUUUGUGAUAACUCGCUACAGGGUCGUCAUGUCAUACUUAGGAGCUAUUUGUCUGGUAAACGGUUUUCAGUAUGUGAAUUGGAAGUAUACGGACAUCUUUAACACAUAUUAGUUAAUAUCGGGGUGAAUAAUAGGUCAUCUGACCAAAAGGGUGAGGAUGAGCUAUAGUCAUCAUGCUUCAUCCGUUGGCGUGCGCCGUCCGCCGUGCGUAAACUUUUCACAUUUCAAACUUCUCAAAUUCCAAUAGUCGGAUUGAGCUGAAACAUGCCUGCAAUUCUCUUGAGAUAAUCCUGAGCAAGUGUUGUUAUUUUUCAAGUAGGUCAGAAAUCCAAGAUGGUCGCCAUGGCAGCCAUCUUGAAAAACAUUUUAAACUUCUUCCCCAGUUUCACUGGUGCCAUUGAGCUGGAAAUUGGAGAGGAUGUUAAGGACGGAAAGCCUACAAAGUGUUGUUAUUUUUCAGCCUCGUAAAAACUUUGACAUGGCAGCCACGGCGGCCAUUUUGUAACAUGAUUACACAAUCAUGGUUUUCCUGAACAACCCUAUUUCAAACUUCUUCUCAAAUUCCACCAGUGGAAUUCAGCUAUAACUUACCAGAAAGGAUCCUGAGAUGGUCCUGACCAAGUAUUGUUAUUCUGCAGAUCCGCCAGAAAUCAA